rnacentral:misc_RNA from 1 species
GCCGGAAUGAGUAGUUCCUUUAGAGCUUUGAUAACAAGUGCAGAAUCACCUUUUGGUCUUACUCUACGGAACCCCUCUGUUUCGCUAAUAGAAUAGCUUUACGACAUGCUAAACUCUCUAGGAUCAGAGGGUCAGAUUGAUGAGCAAAAAUCCUGCAGCACCAAUCAAGAGGCUUGCCCGUGAAAUAUCGGACAACAACAGCUACCGCUUCUCUAAAAUAGUAUCCAAGAGAAACCUCAAGGGGCAGCUAUUGACACUUGCAAAUUUGAGCUUAAUAACACCCUUGUGGUGGGGGGUAGUUGGU